CUACUUCCAAUGUAUGCUCCACACAAAGAAAAACUAUUGCCACUCGGAAUUUUAUUUAGAACGACAAAAAAAUUGGACACUGGUCCUAUUUCCUGUGAAUAGAUUGAGAACCAACAUGCAAGCACUCAGACCAAACAAUCAAUUUACAGUCUUGUUUUCUCAAAUUGUAACUAACACAUCAUCAUUAUUUGUAUAGCUGUGUGGUCGGAUGUCUUUUUUCUGAUCCAAACAUUAAUCCCUACAAUUAAAUUACCAAGUACUUCACCAUUGUACUCCGCCAUUCAUGCUGAAAAAUGUGUUUAGUACAAGAGACUUGUCCUCCAUAUUCUUCCAUGGAAGAGAAACUGAACUAGCAGAUACACAAUAAAAGAAAACAGUACAAGUAAUUAACAGCAACAUCAUAUAGGAAACAAAUUCAUUAUACAAGGGGUCUAGUGCAGAGAUGCUAGCAUUUCCAAAAUGCAAGCAAAAUCACUUAAAGAGACCAAACAUCAUUCAGCUUAAAUUACCAGAGUAAUCGGUUUUCCACAGUAGUAACACUCACCUGAAUAUUUCACCUACCUUAGCAGCAAUUUGCAGAAUAUCCAAUCGCCUCUAUCAAAACAUUCAACAUAUCAAAAAAGGUUCUGAACUAGAAAACCCCACCCCUUACGCAACCCCAAGUAGCAGAAAGAAAGAAGAGAAGGUGGAUAUUGCUCAAAUGGAAGUGAGUUAACAGCCUACCUCUUUUAAGUCACAGAGAGUAUAUCUUGAAAUGGAACUAACUAAAAAACCCUCCCACCACAAAUUUUAGUACAUAAAAUGCUCGACUGGAACUCAAUAAGGACGUGAACGAUUUCCACCAUGAAACUGUCUAUCUGGGCCGGAACCUCCACCGUCUCUGUAGUUAUCCCUGCGCCCGCCACCACCACCACCAUAACCUCCGCGACCGCCACGGCCAGAACCAAAUGCCGGAGGCGGCUUUGGUGCAGACUUUUCAGCCAUCGCUACAGUGAUUUUGUAACCUCUGAAGUCGUGAUUAUUGAAAAAGCCGCCGGCAGAGUGAGCUGCAGAAGGAUCUUCGUAUGACAGAACUGCAUCUCCUUUGUUAUU
rnacentral:misc_RNA from 1 species